GACGAACGCUGGCGGCGUGCUUAACACAUGCAAGUCGAGCGAGAGCCGGCUGAGGGGUAACCCUCGGCCGGGGACAGCGGCGAACGGGUGCGUAACACGUGGGCAACCUGCCCCUGACUCUGGGGAUAACCCCCGGGAAACCGGAGCUAAUACCGGAUACUCUCGGCCAACCACAUGGUCGGCCGAGGAAAGAUCUGUCGGGUCGGGGAGUCGGGCCCGCGGCCUAUCAGCUUGCUGGGUGGGGAACGGCCUACCAAGGCGACGACGGGUAGCUGGUCUGAGAGGACGACCAGCCACAC
rnacentral:rRNA from 1 species